rnacentral:rRNA from 1 species
GACGAACGCUGGCGGCGUGCUUAACACAUGCAAGUCGAACGGAAAGGCCCCCACCUUGGUGGGGGUGCUCGAGUGGCGAACGGGUGAGUAACACGUGGGUGAUCUGCCCUGUACUUCGGGAUAAGCUUGGGAAACUGGGUCUAAUACCGGAUAGGACCAUGGUUUAGUGUCUCAUGGUGGAAAAAUUAUUGUUUUGGUGCAGGAUGAGCUCGCGGCCUAUCAGCUUGUUGGUGGGGUAAUGGCCUACCAAGGCGUCGACGGGUAGCCGGCCUGAGAGGGUGGACGGCCACAUUGGGACUGAGAUACGGCCCAGACUCCUACGGGAGGCAGCAGUGGGGAAUAUUGCACAAUGGGCGCAAGCCUGAUGCAGCGACGCCGCGUGGGGGAUGACGGCCGUCGGGUUGUAAACUCCUUUCGUUAGGGACGAAGCCACACCUUUUUUGGGUGUGGUGACGGUACCUUUGUGAAGAAGCACCGGCUAACUACGUG